rnacentral:rRNA from 1 species
UACAGAGGGGGCAAGCGUUGCUCGGAAUUACUGGGCGUAAAGGGCGCGUAGGCGGCCUGUUAAGUCGAACGUGAAAUCCCCGGGCUCAACCCGGGAACUGCGUCCGAUACUGGCAGGCUUGAAUCCGGGAGAGGGAUGUGGAAUUCCAGGUGUAGCGGUGAAAUGCGUAGAUAUCUGGAGGAACACCGGUGGCGAAGGCGGCAUCCUGGACCGGUAUUGACGCUGAGGCGCGAAAGCCAGGGGAGCAAACGGG